UCAGACUUUAUGCGAGUAUGGGUUGAUGUUGAUAUUGUACCAGAAUCUUACUUAUUUCGUCCUAAUAAUGGGAUGCUUACAAUAAAAGAAGCAGUUGGUUCCACAGUUGCAUGGCCUUCUAAAAAAGUUAUUCCAAGAGAUGUGACAAGCGAAAUAGAAAAGGAUACUUAAUUUUGAAGGCUUUGUGUUGGGCAGCUGUAGAAUAUUUUGUGUUGAAAGUAGUAACUUUUCAAUAUGUUGAAUAUUUAAGACUACUUGAAUACUUAAAGAACAUUUUGUUGUUGAUGACAGUGUUGAAUGUUUUAAACUAAUUUGUGGAUUGUUAAUACAA